UAAUUGAUCAUCAGCAAGUGGCACCACCUCUACAAAAGUAAUGAGCUGUGCAUGUUUUGCAACUACAACACUUAGGCAACUUGCAGUCACUGAGUUAGCCGUGAGCUCCUCUGUAUAUCAAAGUAUCCUAGAAUCAAAUUUGAGGCCAUCUGUCCAUCCAUGGACCAGGUCAAUGACCCCAAGCACAUCAGCAAAUUUACAACAGAAUGACAAAAAGAACAGAGUCAAGGCCCGGUCCAGACCUCAACCCUGACUGAAAUGCUGUGGCGGGAUCUUCAGAGAAAGACCUGCUUAAAUCGGAUACCAAAAGACUUUUACUCAAGUCUUAUUGGAAUUGGUGACUUUCAAUGCAAGGAAUCUAUGCAAAUGCUUUGAAGCAGCGUUUUGACACCCCAGCGCCCCUCAUGCCACCAGCUAUUGGAAGUGAAGUGAGAUGCUAACACUUCCCAUUAGCGAUCGAGACGGCAUAGCGGCGAGUCGGUGGCAGCUUCUGUGAACUCCCCUUCAAUUACGGGUUUGAAAGAGGCGAGACUUUCGAGCUGAACGCCUGCACAGAGACGGCAUGCCGAAACACUGGCAGGCUUGUCUGGAAAACAGGCAAACGAGUCAACGUUGUACUGUUAAUCUUGUAUUUCAAUGCUAUCUCAAGUGUGUGUGUGUUUAAUGCAUAGUCCCUGAGGCAAGAGCAAGCUACUAAUGGCUCUACUGUGCUCUUCAAGGGCCCUGGUUUGGUUACUAAAACUCAGACAAAGAGCCAUCUUGUGGGACAUUACAGUGAGAGGAAAGGUGGAGGACUAUAAGGCGUUUGCAGAUGCUAUCUCUUUUCAGUGCAUUAUAUAAUAAACUCUUGACAGGAAUAGCUUUGCUUUUAUAUGUAAGCAAUACAACACUUGGUAUAAAAAGGUCAUAAUCCAUAAUCAUAAAGAAAUAUGGAAAACACUGUCAGGAAUAUAGACACAAACUAGGUUUCCUAUCAGCCACUACAGUACAUCCAAAUAUAUGGACAAAAAACUGUCACCAAAAGAUUGCUAUGUGGCUUUUGAACUGAAUCCCAUUCCACAUUUAGUCCCCAUCUCCACUUUUCUGGGAAGAUUUUCACCAGAUUUUAAUUUAGCUGUAGAUUUGUCCUUAUUCAACCAUAAGAGCUUUAGUAAGGUACUGAUGUAGGUGACAAUGAGGUCUGGGGUGCAAUCAGUGUUCCAAUUAUCCCAAUGUUGGUGAAUAAGGUUUGACCUCUUUAGCAGGCCACUCAAGAUCGUCCACACCAAUGAAUGUAAACUACAUCAUCAGGAUUCGAUCUUCUAGUUCAAGUAAAGGGAAAAUAUAAUGCUACACAUCCAAAUACACCCUAUACAAUUGUGUGCCUUUAAAUUUGUGGGAACAAUCUGGGGAACAACCAAAUUUUCCUGAAAAAGUCUAUUGUAGCAAUACUUUUGUUAUUCAUUUGUACAUAACUCCUAUCUAUUUGUAUGAAUAGCUCAAUUGUAUAAUCAGGAUAUUCCUUUUACUUUCAUCUUGGUGUCUGUUUUGUGAUCAGCUGGUCACUAGAACACAGCUUGUGUUUAAACAUUUUUGCAAUCCAUGUACCCCAAACUCUUAUGCUAUUUACAAGCUCACUUCCUCUCUGUGCAAAAAAAAAAAAAGUUACCAUUUGAGCA